rnacentral:rRNA from 1 species
GUAUGUAAUGUACUCUUUCUUCGGAACACCGGUGACAGGUGGUGCAUGGUUGUCGUCAGCUCGUGUCGUGAGAUGUUGGGUUAAGUCCCGCAACGAGCGCAACCCCUGUCCUUAGUAGCCAGCAGUUCGGCUGGGCACUCUAGGGAGACUGCCAGGGAUAACCUGGAGGAAGGCGGGGAUGACGUCAAAUCAUCAUGCCCCUUAUGACUUGGGCUACACACGUGCUACAAUGGCGUAAACAAAGGGAAGCGAAAAGGUGACUUCUAGCAAAUCCCAAAAAUAACGUCCCAGUUCGGACUGUAGUCUGCAACUCGACUACACGAAGCUGGAAUCGCUAGUAAUCGCGAAUCAAAAUGUCGCGGUGAAUACGUUCCCGGGUCUUGUACACACCGA